CGAACGGCUCCGUAUAUCUGUUAUUACCAAUCGCCCUAGGGCUACCGCGGAUAUCCGCGGUAAUUCUGGGGCCAAUACGUAACCGAUUCUUGGGGCUGGUCUGGGGCCCCCCCUUAAAAGGGGGCCCCUGUCCAGCCCUGGGCUUGCGGGCAGGACCAGCAGCCCCCCCUUCUGGGGGGGAUGGCAGGAAGGCACGCAAGGGUACCAUACCGUCUGCCUGCCGGGCGGUGUGGGCCGGUCGAUUUCAGACCUAUCAACUUAAGUGUGGGGUAGAGCCCCACACUGGUAAUAACGGGUACAGAGGAUCAGGGUUCGGUCCUGGAGAGGUAGCCUUAGAGAUCGCUACCACUUCUAAGGAAGGCAGCAGGCGCGCAACGUUCCCAAUGAGGACCCCUUGAGGACGUAAAGGGGCAUAGCAAUGCGGGGCAGUAAAAUGCCCUGUAAUUGAAAUGGGGGCGUCCUAGACCCCCCACCGAGUAACGAUUGGAGGACAAGUCUG
rnacentral:rRNA from 1 species